UUUUUUUUUUUAGUUUGUUUUUGGCCCAGUGCAGGUAGCAGAAGCAUCAUGUCUGAACCAGUUUCCUCAUCUGCUGUCUUGGCUGCCCACUUUCUUCUCCACCAGUUCAGGGAAAGUGAAGAAUGGUUUGCCUUUGCCCAGCAGCACUGCAGCUCUGCAUGUUUAAUGCUACAUCUGGGUUUUUGCAUAUGAGUGAAACUGCAGCUCUGGGACUGAUUCAGGGAGUUUUCUCUGCAGAGUAGUUUUGGCCUUCUUGGUGUGCAUCAAAUCCUCACCUGUGUUGGAAAGCACUCUUUGUGAACAUUUUUACAGAGAGGUGUGUAAUAGAUCCAGCAAAGGCUGAGGACUGGUAAUAGUGGCUGAUGUAGUACCAUGGAGAAAAGAAAUCUGAACACUGCUCUCCAAGGAGGCUGAGUGAGAAGGGAGGUAAUAGUAGGUUUCAUUGCCUAGUUGGAGUUGACAGAAGGCGAGGUGAUUUUGCUCUUCAAAUUGUGCUCAGAGGACAGGAGGCAGCAUGUAUAUUGCAGUAUAUGUGGUGGGUGAUAGGACAGGCAUCGUCUUACGUACAAAGGUCUCCUGCAAAGCUGAUGUCUAUUUUUCCUACUGCAGAGUUGGUAUGUUGACUGCCUCCUUGCAAAUCCAAAGCCUUGCCAUGAUUUGCUCUCUGUAUAAUUUAAUUAAACCAAUGGGAAUUGCACUGAGGUAAAACUGCAGGAGAAAUUUUGUAUUCUGUAGCUAACAGGGGACGUCCUGAAUUUAGAAUAAAUUUAUUCUACUGGUGUGGUUUUACUUUCAGGUACACAUUGUCAUGCACAAGCCCUUUCAAGACGUCUGCAGCAAUAGCUGCAAGUGCGAAGUGUUCACUAGGAGCUUCUAUACUGCACUGCUGUCUGUGUGCAGGCUGUGCAAAGUGGGGAAUUCACCUUGCUUCUUAAACCAUAACCUUCCACAUAGGAAGCUCAAGUAGGUCACUUAGGGGAGCCAGGAAAUGCACUGCGUGUCUGAUACUAAUCUGAUAGCCCAUCUAGUAAACGGGAGUGGCCAACGACGCACAUCCCAGUUUGUCAGAUGUGCUCAUGUGUUCUCUGAAAUGUUACAGAUAGAGUAUAUAUCAGAGCUUAGAAUCUGACCUGAAAAAGUAGAUGUCUUCUAAGAUUGUAUUUGACUUCCUUGUGAUAAGAAUUAGCUUUCCAUCUUAAUCAGCAUUUGUGACUUGAUUCAGCAAAGCAUUGAAGAUGUGCUUAAGGCAAUCUCUAUUCAGCAAAACUUUUAACUUUGAAUACAUGCUCCAUGAACAGAAAUUUAAAUUAGAGUUGGGUACAUAGGCUUCACAAAAUUGGGUUUCAACUUUGGAGAAAUCAGUCAUGAUCACUUAGUUUGUAGUGCAAAAAUCUCUCCAUUUUUGCUGAGGAGGGGACUGGCACAGGAGUCAUUAGAAACCAAAAUUAAUUGUGUGCAGCUAGCAGGAGAUUUUAGACCCUUGGUUAAAUAACAGCUAAGCAUGUGAGCACGGAUAAAUUAAGUGAAAAACAAUCUCUGUAAGCAUUUAGAUCUAUAUAAAGAAAAAUUUUGAAAGAUUGGCAUUUCAGUGUCAAAAUUCAAGCAAAAAUUUAUGAUUCAGAAAAUGUUUGCAGUAGUCUGUAACCCUCAGCGUUCAUUUUAUGCCUAUAUGCCUGCAGACAGACAUUCCCUUCCUUAUUCAUUUUUCCAAUUUUCUGUUUUUGUAAAACUAUGAAAUAAACAAUCAAAAUUUG
rnacentral:lncRNA from 7 species